GAAGCCGAAGUACCUCUUGUGCCCCAGACCAGACCAACGGUGUGCUUUCAUGAUGAACCAAAUUAACCUGCUGUGCAGAACCAGCCACAAAAGACAGCAAAUCAGCAUCCUUCGUACGAAUACCACAUGAUUUCAGCCCGCCCUCCCGACUAUACUGUAGCAGCUGUAUUGGCGUGUAUCUUCUGCUUCACUCCUGUCGGUCUUUUGGCCAUUUUCAACGCAAUGCAGUCCAAGACGAUGGCCAAUAUCGGAUAUAUUAAGGAGGCAAAACGCCACUCCCGCCUCGCCAAAAGGUUUGC